rnacentral:rRNA from 1 species
CAGUCGCCACGGUAAUACGUAGGUGGCGAGCGUUGUCCGGAUUUAUUGGGCGUAAAGGGAGUGUAGGCGGUCUUUUAAGUCUGAUGUGAAAGCCCACGGCUCAACCGUGGAGGGUCAUUGGAAACUGGGAGACUUGAGUGCAGAAGAGGAGAGCGGAAUUCCAUGUGUAGCGGUGAAAUGCGUAGAUAUAUGGAGGAACACCAGUGGCGAAGGCGGCUCUCUGGUCUGUAACUGACGCUGAGGCUCGAAAGCGUGGGGAGCAAACAGGAUUAGAUACCCGUGUAGUCCCUGUCUCUUAUAC